rnacentral:rRNA from 1 species
UCUACGGGAGGCAGCAGUGAGGAAUAUUGGUCAAUGGCCGAGAGGCUGAACCAGCCAAGUCGCGUGAGGGAAGACGGCCCUACGGGUUGUAAACCUCUUUUGUAUGGGAAUAAAAUGUUCCACGUGUGGGAUUUUGUAUGUACCAUAUGAAUAAGGAUCGGCUAACUCCGUGCCAGCAGCCGCGGUAAUACGGAGGAUCCGAGCGUUAUCCGGAUUUAUUGGGUUUAAAGGGAGCGUAGGUGGAUUGUUAAGUCAGUUGUGAAAGUUUGCGGCUCAACCGUAAAAUUGCAGUUGAAACUGGCAGUCUUGAGUACAGUAGAGGUGGGCGGAAUUCGUGGUGUAGCGGUGAAAUGCUUAGAUAUCACGAAGAACUCCGAUUGCGAAGGCAGUUCACUGGACUGCAACUGACACUGAGGCUCGAAAGUGUGGGUAUCAAACAGGAUUAGAUACCCUUGUAGUC